rnacentral:rRNA from 1 species
GACGAACCGUGCGAACGUUGUUCGGAAUCACUGGGCUUAAAGGGCGCGUAGGCGGGCUGUCAAGUCCGGGGUGAAAGCCCCCAGCUCAACUGGGGAAGUGCCUUGGAUACUGGGAACCUCGAGGGAGGUAGGGGCGUGCGGAACUUCCGGUGGAGCGGUGAAAUGCGUAGAUAUCGGAAGGAACACCGGUGGCGAAAGCGGCGCGCUGGACCUCUUCUGACGCUGAGGCGCGAAAGCCAGGGGAGCAAACGGG